rnacentral:lncRNA from 1 species
UGGAAGCAUAUAUAUAUAUAUAUAUAUAUAUAUAUAUAUAGAGUCUGGCUACUAUACUAUCGGUAGCACGAGGGCUCCGUGCUACCAAGUUGUUUUCAAUGAUGCGGCUUCCAAAACGACGAUUGGCUCCGUUAGAUUUGAUCUACACUAUUAAAAGUAUUUGGAAACUAAAUUUUAAAUUUUUUGACAUCAUUUGACUAGUGAUCAAAAGAUCUCAAAUUGACAAUUUUAAUAGCCAAUGUGGUGUGUUUGAGAGUUUAACGGUAUAAAAUAAUUCAAAUCCGAUGAAAAUUUUAUAGAAAAUUAUUUUCACUAUUUAGAAUAAGAUCAGUAUAUCUGAUCUUGAAUUUAAAUCUUUUAUCAUUAUUUUUUAUGAGAUUUUUAUUUUCAACCGUUCAAUUUUAGACUACUUAUUUGAUAGGUAAAUGAUAUCGAAAAAUUAUGAAAUUUAGUUUUCAAAUACUUUCAAUAGUGUAGAUUAAGUCUAACGGAGCCGAUCGUCGAUUUGAAAGCGGCAUCAUCGAAAACAAUUUGGUAGCACGGAGGCGUCCGUGCAACCAAUAGUAUAGCAGCCUAGCUCUCUCUCUCUCUCUCUCUCUCUAUAUAUAUAUAUAUAUAUACACUUCAUUUCUA